rnacentral:lncRNA from 1 species
GGAUUAUAAAUGAAUAUCUAAGGAAAGACCAAUUUGAGGAGACUAGAGCUUUCGUGCUGGUCAUGUCUCUAUUCAGCUUGCUCUACCAUAGAUCUUAUAAUAGAGGAUUCUUGAUUCAUCUUGAUUAAAGAGGAAAAUACAAUCUAGGUACUAGAGAAUAGGUAGCAAGGUCAUUAGAGAUAAAAUGAGAAAUGGAGGGUGAAAUUUAUAAAUUGAAGGAUUGCAA